GAGGAAAGAUUGAGACGUGCCUAAUACAUGCAAGUCGAGCGAACAGACGAGGAGCUUGCUCCUCUGACGUUAGCGGCGGACGGGUGAGUAACACGUGGAUAACCUACCUAUAAGACUGGGAUAACUUCGGGAAACCGGAGCUAAUACCGGAUAAUAUAUUGAACCGCAUGGUUCAAUAGUGAAAGACGGUUUUGCUGUCACUUAUAGAUGGAUCCGCGCCGCAUUAGCUAGUUGGUAAGGUAACGGCUUACCAAGGCAGCGAUGCGUAGCCGACCUGAGAGGGUGAUCGGCCACACUGGAACUGAGACACGGUCCAGACUCCUACGGGAGGCAGCAGUAGGGAAUCUUCCGCAAUGGGCGAAGGCUUGACGGAGCAACGCCGCGUGAGUGAUGAAGGUCUUCGGAUCGUAAAACUCUGUUAUUAGGGAGGAACAAAUGUGUAAGUAACUAUGCACGUCUUGACGGUACCUAAUCAGAAAGCCACGGCUAACUACGUG
rnacentral:rRNA from 1 species